UCCGGUUUGGCACCGGCAGUCUCCCUAGAGUUCCCGGCAUGAUCCGCUGGCAACUAAGGACAGGGGUUGCGCUCGUUGCGCCACUUAAGGCAACACCUCACGGCACGAGCUGACGACAGCCAUGCACCACCUGUGCGGGCUCCGAAGAGGAACCGAUGUUUCCACCGGCUUUCCCGUGCAUGUCAAGGCCAGGUAAGGUUCUUCGCGUUGCAUCGAAUUAAGCCACAUACUCCACCGCUUGUGCAGGCCCCCGUCAAUUCCUUUGAGUUUUAGCCUUGCGGCCGUACCCCCCAGGCGGGGUGCUUAAUGCGUUAGCUUCGGCACGGACGGAGUUGACACCGCCCACACCUAGCACCCAUCGUUUACGGCGUGGACUAC
rnacentral:misc_RNA from 1 species